rnacentral:pre_miRNA from 1 species
CCAUGAUCCACCGGGUAAGUGGAAAGAUGGUGGGCUGCAGAACACGUGUGUUUCUGAUAUCAUAUGUCUGCUGGCCAUCAUCUUUAAGAGUCUCCUUGCCUGUG